UCUAGGAGGCGUUGGUAGUACACGCGACGCGCCUGUUCCAAAAUGCGCUAGUCUGAAACUUCCCAAACGGAAAUAUCACUUCGUACGGUUUUCUUGCGAACUCCAUGCUUGUCAAGUUCUAUUUGCGUUAGUUCUGCAAGUCAUCUGUCCGUACAAGCUAGGCAUUCAAGUUGUGCGGUGGAGCCCAUGCUGUCCCACUUUAUGAGCAGAAGUCUUGGGCUGCUGGUCCAUAGACGGGAAUGAGUGGCUGAGUGAGUGACAGCUACACAUAUGGCGGAUGCCCCACGUGUCUGAUGCAGCACUUAACUACUACGUAUUUCUUUAAAUAAAAACUUCUGUUUUCCAUGCACUCCA